UACGAAGGGGGCUAGCGUUGCUCGGAAUUACUGGGCGUAAAGCGCACGUAGGCGGAUCUUUAAGUCAGGGGUGAAAUCCUGGAGCUCAACUCCAGAACUGCCUUUGAUAUUGGGGAUCUCGAGUCCGGGAGAGGUGAGUGGAACUGCGAGUGUAGAGGUGAAAUUCGUAGAUAUUCGCAAGAACACCAGUGGCGAAGGCGGCUCACUGGCCCGGUACUGACGCUGAGGUGCGAAAGCGUGGGGAGCAAACAGG
rnacentral:rRNA from 1 species